CCAUCAUCGGUUCUCUUUUCAGAGCAGUUCAGCCGACCGGACAUCACUAGUCUAUUGGCGUAAACACGAGCUUUAACUCCCCCAUCUGGCGCACAAAACGUUGUAAAUUCUAAUAGUAAUUUCGGAUAAGAUUGCUACAACAAAUAAAUAGCGCUCUUUGUUGUUAUUAUGGAUGGCGUGUCAUAAAGUGAAAUGCUUAAACUCGGCAUGCUCUGUUUUUCUUUUUGGAAAAAAGAAACCGUGAUAUUCUGUCUUCUGCUUUUGUCUUCUAUCAUCUGCGUCAGAAUAUUAGAUUUCCUAUACACAAUUCUGAGCGAUUGAAGCUGUGGUUGCUCGCGCUGCACUUGGAUAUCAACACACCCGAACAUGCUCUGAUAUUUAAGAGAGUGUGCAGUGAUCAUUUUUUCGACGAUGAUUUCAAACCCUCCCAGCAAGGAAAUCGUCAUUUUCUGAAAGCGUCGGCUGUGCCCAAUACGUUUUACAGCAAACAGAGUAUCCGUCUCGUGGAAAUCUAGAGUCCCUAGCAAAAGACAAUGACGCUGAGCUGGAGGUCCAGGGAGCAGGAGUGUUUUUGGCUAAUGUUCCACAGUCAACACCAGCAAACGUCUCAGGUUACUUGUGUAACCAUGGUUCCCUGAGUAGGGAACGAGACACUGCGUCCUCUAGGGGUCGCUAUGGGGAACGCCUCGUCGUGACCCGUGUCUGAAGCAUACAUUGAAAACACA
rnacentral:lncRNA from 1 species